GCCUGUAGUCCCAGCUACUCAGAAGGCGAAGGCAAGAGGGUCACUUGAGCUCAGGAGUUCCAGGCUGUAGUGAACCACACUGAUCAGGUGUGCACACUGAGUUCAGUAUCAAUAUGGUGACCUCCUGGGAGUGUGGGGGGCCACAAGGUUGUCUGAGGAGGGGUGAACUGGCCCAGGUCAGAAACAGAGUUAAGUCAAAACUACUGUGCUGAUCAGUAGUGUAAUCAGGCCUGUGCAUAGCCAUUGUGCUCCAGCCUGGGCAACAUGGUGAGACCCCAUUCUCU
rnacentral:SRP_RNA from 1 species